AAAAAAAAACCAAAAAAACAAC
rnacentral:sRNA from 1 species